rnacentral:lncRNA from 1 species
UUGUUUCUAUUUGGUAGUUGAGUUCACUGAGUGUGGUUCCUAAACUUUCAGCUAUGGCAGGUCCACUCAUUAACAGCUUGUGUCUGAGCAUUUCAAAUGUUUUACAUGCCUUUAUUCCCACUGUAAGUCAUAUGGCAUAAUUCUCCUCUCCAUAUCUUAACUUUUUCAUAGUUGGAAAUGGCCCAGACAUACUUACCUAUCUGGGCAGAUGUCAAAUUUCAAAGGCUAUUAUUCUGAGGCAAUCAGGAACAUGGUUGGGGCCGGUAGUGGCAGGGCCAGAGAGACGGAAACACACUGGGGUUUAGACUAGGUCCUGCUGCUCACCAUACAGUAAAGCUAGACGAGUACUGCCAGGGAAGAAGGAUUUAAUCAGGUCCUGCAGCCAAGGACAUGGGAGAUUGGUCUCAAAUCCAUCUCCCUAAUCAACUAAAAUUAAGAGUUUAUAUAGCAGGGAAGAAAUGUAAUAUUGUGUAGGAAAACAUGAAGUCGGUAGGGGUAAGGAGGCAAAAUGAGGAGCCUGGCUCUCAUUGGCUGCAGUGAUCUGGUGAGUUUCAGUUCUUUGAUACUUUUUGAGAGGCCCGGGGGCCCGUUCCUGAGGAAGGAACUCAGGUUUAAAAAAUGUAAGUUUCA